AGUGAACGCUGGCGGCAGGCCUAACACAUGCAAGUCGAACGAGUGGCGGACGGGUGAGUAAUACAUGGGAAUCUGCUCUGUCGUGGGGGAUAACUACGGGAAACUUACGCUAAUACCGCAUACGAUUGGAUGAGCCCAUGUCGGAUUAGCUAGUUGGUGGGGUAAAGGCCCACCAAGGCGACGAUCCCUAGCUGGUCUGAGAGGAUGAUCAGCCACACUGGAACUGAGACACGGUCCAGACUCCUACGGGAGGCAGCAGUGGGGAAUAUUGGACAAUGGGCGCAAGCCUGAUCCAGCCAUACCGCGUGAGUGAAGAAGGCCUUCGGGUUGUAAAGCCCUUUUGUUGGGAAAGCGGUACCCAAAGAAUAAGCACCGGCUAACUUCGUGCCAGCAGCCGCGGUAAUUC
rnacentral:rRNA from 1 species